AUGCAGCUGACGAAUCCCAAAUAGGACGAAAUGCGCAUCCUGGAU
rnacentral:hammerhead_ribozyme from 1 species